rnacentral:pre_miRNA from 1 species
AUAGUACUCCCUCCGUCCCAAAAUUCUUGUCUUAGAUUUGUCUAAAUACGGAUGUAUCUAGUUACGUUUUAGUGUUAGAUACAUCCGUAUCUAGAAAAAUCUAAGAUAAGAAUUUUGGGACGAAGGGAGUAGAUC